CUCUCACGGUCACAGAGAGACCAAUGAUAUAUUGACACACAUCGAGGUCGUUUCUGAUAUUAAAACCCAGCUUCUUCCAAAAUCCUCUUCUUAUCUAAAACCCUCUCUCUCUCUCUCUCUCUCUCUCUCUCUCUCUUUUACGGUCUUUAAUGUGCAAAGUUGAAGUAGAAAAAGCAUGGUGAACCCACAGACAGACAAGCUUGUGAGAAGGACAACUAUGGUGGCCACUCUGACUGCUUCCUAUUUUCUUUUGACUGCUGACUAUGGCUCCGAACCCAAUGUUCUCGACCCUGUAUAUUAAGAAGGUGAUAGUGUCAGCAGAAAACACUGUGAAAGAGUUCAUAUUUGGAACAAAGAAGUAACUUCAAGAGAACCAAAUGGUGAAGCUGGGAUCCAACAGUGCAAAGGAAAAUUCUUAAUUGAUGGGCAGUUCACUUUGUAUAGGAAUAUCAUAGACUUGAGUAAGGAUUUUACAACCUGUGUUGAAUUUUUGAAAGUUGUAAUGUGGGACCUAGUUUUUUUAACACACGUUUUAUUGUUUUGGAAAUUUCAUAUUGUUGGGCCUCUUGCUGCAAUCAAAUACUUUGCAUGAUGGAUGGUUAUAUA